rnacentral:rRNA from 1 species
AACGAACGCUGGCGGCAGGCUUAACACAUGCAAGUCGAACGCACCGCAAGAUGAGUGGCAGACGGGUGAGUAACGCGUGGGAACAUACCCUUUUCUACGGAAUAGCUCUGGGAAACUGGAAUUAAUACCGUAUACGCCCUACGGGGGAAAGAUUUAUCGGGGAAGGAUUGGCCCGCGUUGGAUUAGCUAGUUGGUGGGGUAAAGGCCUACCAAGGCGACGUUCCAUAGCUGGUCUGAGAGGAUGAUCAGCCACAUUGGGACUGAGACACGGCCCAAACUCCUACGGGAGGCAGCAGUGGGGAAUAUUGAACAAUGGGCGCAAGCCUGAUCCAGCCAUGCCGCGUGAGUGAUGAAGGCCUUAGGGUUGUAAAGCUCUUUCACCGAUGAAGAUAAUGACGGUAGUCGGAGAAGAAGCCCCGGCUAACUUCGUGCCAGCCGCCGCCGUAACAC